rnacentral:lncRNA from 1 species
GCCUAUGAUUUUUACAAUUUAUAUUCGUGGGAGAAAGGAUUCGGCAUUAGAUACGAAAAGAGCAGGGUAAACGUAAACUGGACAAAUGCAUGAAAGAGAUAGUCUAUGGUUGCGCGGUAUGCCAUUGUGUUUGCAAUGUUCUAUAAUUUUCUAGUUCACCAUGUGGAAGUUGUGAUGAAGUUAACUGAAUUUGACUUAUCAAAAUUUUAACAGGGGAAGCAAAUAGUUGAAAAUACUCGGUCUUGCCGCUGUUAAUGCCCUACUCUCAUAAGAUUGUUGCGGUUAAAGGACAACGGGAGCAUCGAUAUGAGCACAUACAUUCAUUGUCUCCCACGUACGGACAGACAAUACACUGGCCAUCACACAAGCAUAUCGACGUGUACAUCAGAGGUCUCGUGAAGCAGCUGUGGCAAAACAAUGACAACUUAGCGAGAAUGGGGAUGUUGUGAACCAGGUUCACCCAGAAGGCGCUGAGAUGGGACAGGGAGGCAGAAUGCCUACUGUUAUGAGGAAAUGAGGACCGAUGAUAACACUUCAGCCAAUCAGUCGGGUGAUAUGCUGACAGGCUUAUUGCCUCCAGCUAAGAGGAAGGAUGUGGGAAAGCCUACGACAAGCAGAGAGAAAGCACUGUAUGAUGGACUGAGUAAGAUGACAAGAUUAUGCAUGAUUUUCAGUGACAAGCACACAAACGGAUACCCUGCCCUGAUCGUGGGGAUGUACAAAAACAGCCUUGGAAGCCAGGAAGAUGCAAGAAUUGUGGCGUUGAAGGCCAUCGUCGAUACAACUACCACAAAGUGGCUGAGCUCAGGCUGAAGAGCUGAUCUGAUCUUGUUUUGUUUAGCUGCAGCACUCUGCUUGCCAAAUUUUAAGCUGCCUUGUACCUGAGUACUAAGUUGUGUUCUUUCUGAAUAAUUAGAACUUGUCUGUACAAAGUCUGCAUUGUAAAAUGGCUGUGCUUUGUGUUCCUUACUGAUAUUAUAUUAUUAUUUGAUCUUCCUGUGUUGCUGAUAUUAUUUGAUCGUGGUUCCUUACUGAACUGUUUGGCACAUAGUAUGUGUUGUUU